UACAGAGGUCUCGAGCGUUAGGCGGAAUCACUGGGCUUAAAGCGCGUGUAGGCGGAUCGUUAAGUGCCUUGUGAAAUCCCACGGCUUAACCGUGGAACUGCUUGGCAUACUGGCGGUCUUGAGCAACCUAGGGGCGAGCGGAACAAAUGGUGGAGCGGUGAAAUGCGUAGAUAUCAUUUGGAACGCCAAUGGUGAAAACAGCUCGCUGGGGGUUUGCUGACGCUGAGACACGAAAGCCGGGGGAGCAAACGGG
rnacentral:rRNA from 1 species